AGUGAACGCUGGCGGUAGGCCUAACACAUGCAAGUCGAACGGCAGCACAGUAAGAGCUUGCUCUUACGGGUGGCGAGUGGCGGACGGGUGAGGAAUACAUCGGAAUCUACUUUUUCGUGGGGGAUAACGUAGGGAAACUUACGCUAAUACCGCAUACGACCUACGGGUGAAAGCAGGGGAUCUUCGGACCUUGCGCGAUUGAAUGAGCCGAUGUCGGAUUAGCUAGUUGGCGGGGUAAAGGCCCGCCAAGGCGACGAUCCGUAGCUGGUCUGAGAGGAUGAUCAGCCACACUGGAACUGAGACACGGUCCAGACUCCUACGGGAGGCAGCAGUGGGGAAUAUUGGACAAUGGGCGCAAGCCUGAUCCAGCCAUACCGCGUGGGUGAAGAAGGCCUUCGGGUUGUAAAGCCCUUUUGUUGGGAAAGAAAAGCAGCAGGUUAAGACCCCGCUGUUCUGACGGUACCCAAAGAAUAAGCACCGGCUAACUUCGU
rnacentral:rRNA from 1 species